rnacentral:rRNA from 1 species
AAUACCACCCUUUAAUGUUUGAUGUUCUAACGUUGGCCCCUAAUCGGGGUUGCGGACAGUGUCUGGUGGGUAGUUUGACUGGGGCGGUCUCCUCCUAAAGAGUAACGGAGGAGCACGAAGGUUGGCUAAUCCUGGUCGGACAUCAGGAGGUUAGUGCAAUGGCAUAAGCCAGCUUGACUGCGAGCGUGACGGCGCGAGCAGGUGCGAAAGCAGGUCAUAGUGAUCCGGUGGUUCUGAAUGGAAGGGCCAUCGCUCAACGGAUAAAAGGUACUCCGGGGAUAACAGGCUGAUACCGCCCAAGAGUUCAUAUCGACGGCGGUGUUUGGCACCUCGAUGUCGGCUCAUCACAUCCUGGGGCUGAAGUAGGUCCCAAGGGUAUGGCUGUUCGCCAUUUAAAGUGGUACGCGAGCUGGGUUUAGAACGUCGUGAGACAGUUCGGUCCCUAUCUGCCGUGGGCGCUGGAGAACUGAGGGGGGCUGCUCCUAGUACGAGAGGACCGGAGUGGACGCAUCACUGGUGUUCGGGUUGUCAUGCCAAUGGCACUGCCCGGUAGCUAAAUGCGGAAGAGAUAAGUGCUGAAAGCAUCUAAGCACGAAACUUGCC